rnacentral:rRNA from 1 species
CCUGCCCACUGAUAUAAAUUUAAUGGCCGCGGUAUUAUGACCGUGCAAAGGUAGCAUAAUCAUUAGUCUUUUAAUUUGAGGCUUGUAUGAAUGGUUGAACAAAAGAGAGACUGUCUUCUUUAAUAAAAAUUGAAUUUAACUUUUAAGUGAAAGGGCUUAAAUAUUUCAAAGGGACGAUAAGACCCUAUAAAGCUUUAUAGAGGAUAAAGAUUAGAUUGAAGUUUCUAUUAAAAAUUAAGGUUUAUAUUUUAUUAGGUUGGGGCAACGAAGAUAUAAUUAUAAAUAACUGUUUUUUAUUAGAACAAAUAUGUUUGUUUUAAGUUUAAGUGAUCCUUAUUUAAAGAUUGAAGAUUAAGUUACUUUAGGGAUAACAGCGUAAUUUUUUUUGAGAGUUCCUAUCGAAAAAAGAGUUUGCGACCUCGAUGUUGAAUUAAAAUUUCUUUAUAGUGCAGUUAUUAUAUAAGAGGGUCUGUUCGACCUUUAAUUUUUUACGUGAUCUGAGUU